rnacentral:rRNA from 1 species
UUGAACGCUGGCGGCAGGCCUAACACAUGCAAGUCGCGCGGAUGAAGGGAGCUUGCUCCUGGAUUCAGCGGCGGACGGGUGAGUAAUGCCUAGGAAUCUGCCUGGUAGUGGGGGAUAACGUCCGGAAACGGGCGCUAAUACCGCAUACGUCCUGAGGGAGAAAGUGGGGGAUCUUCGGACCUCACGCUAUCAGAUGAGCCUAGGUCGGAUUAGCUAGUUGGUGGGGUAAAGGCCUACCAAGGCGACGAUCCGUAACUGGUCUGAGAGGAUGAUCAGUCACACUGGAACCGAGACACGGUCCAGACUCCUACGGGAGGCAGCAGUGGGGAAUAUUGGACAAUGGGCGAAAGCCUGAUCCAGCCAUGCCGCGUGUGUGAAGAAGGUCUUCGGAUUGUAAAGCACUUUAAGUUGGGAGGAAGGGCAGUAAGUUAAUACCUUGCUGUUUUGACGUUACCAACAGAAUAAGCACCGGCUAACUUCGUG